AACCGCAUAGGCGAUGGAGUUCGCCUUUAAACGCCCAAGGGCUGAUGACUCCUACCAGCGC
rnacentral:ncRNA from 3 species